rnacentral:misc_RNA from 1 species
UCUAUCAAAUCGAUAUGCCUAAUCUGUCCAGUAUCUGGAGGAAACACCCCACUAUUCAUGGACAUGAUAAGUUCCUGUGUAUCUUCACCUUUGCCAACAUACAAGACCCACAAAAACACUGCAGCCGACACAACACAUAAUAGCAUCAUCCCAAUCUUCUUUCUAGGUGCAAAUUUGCAGAUCCAAAGAAAUAAUCCUUCUUUCUCCUUGAACAUUUUUGGGGGCUUUCGUGGUGGAACAAGG